GAUGAACGCUGGCGGCGUGCCUAAUACAUGCAAGUCGAGCGAAUGGAUUAAGAGCUUGCUCUUAUGAAGUUAGCGGCGGACGGGUGAGUAACACGUGGGUAACCUGCCCAUAAGACUGGGAUAACUCCGGGAAACCGGGGCUAAUACCGGAUAACAUUUUGAACCGCAUGGUUCGAAAUUGAAAGGCGGCUUCGGCUGUCACUUAUGGAUGGACCCGCGUCGCAUUAGCUAGUUGGUGAGGUAACGGCUCACCAAGGCAACGAUGCGUAGCCGACCUGAGAGGGUGAUCGGCCAACCUGGGACUGAGACACGGCCCAGACUCCUACGGGAGGCAGCAGGAGGGAAUCUUCCGCAAUGGACGAAAGUCUGACGGAGCAACGCUGCGUGAGUGAUGAAGGCUUUCGGGUCGUAAAACUCUGUUGUUAGGGAAGAACAAGUGCUAGUUGAAUAAGCUGACACCUUGACGGUACCUAACCAGAAAGCCACGGCUAACUACGUGCCAGCAGCCGCCGUAA
rnacentral:rRNA from 1 species